UGCUUUGCGCAGAGGCGGUGCCAUGGCCGAUGAGGGUUGUCCGAGGCGUGGUUAUUGGUAUUUGAAACAUAUGU
rnacentral:snRNA from 1 species